CAAACUGACAAUAGGUGGGCUCAAAGUACAAAACCACAAGUGCAUGCUGCAUCAAGCUACAGCCUCUGCAAACAACAAACACCAGCAUGGCUUCUCACAUUUCUUUUCUACAUGAAGGGCUUUUUGUUCCUCUAAACGUAAGUGGCAGUCUGUUGAGAAGAAGGAGGGGCAUUUGAAAGAGAUGUGUCUCGUGAGAAUACUGCUUAGUAGACUGUGUGGUUAUGUUGCUAUGAAAGGGGGUCAGUCUUGUGGUUGGAAAACAUCUAAACAUCUAAACACACCAACAUUCAAAUACAAACAUGUGAUUGUGUAACUUUAAGCAUAACUUUUUGCUCUGAAUCUAAUUUUUGUGCAUAAAUUACAUGUAAUAAUAAUAAAUGUACACUGUAAAAAAAAAAAAAAAAAAAAAACGUGCUGUAAAAUAACAGUAAAAUACUGGCAGCUGUGGUUUCCAGAAGUGUUGUAUGGUUAUUCUGGUGUAAAUACACAAAAUGAAUUUGAGGUGCAUGGAAGGAAAACUAAUAUUUUUAUGGUGUUAUGCUUCGUUCCAGACAGCUCAGAAUUUGAUUUUUUUCCCCAUCUCGUUCUAGGAUAUAACAUCUGGAAUGUCACUCAAAGUCGGACAUUCGACCUGUGAACUCGGGGUACACUGAUUAUGGCAGGCGGAAUUAACAUAAAACUAUGGUUUGACUAAAUAUAUUUUAGAUAGUUACAAUUGUAUUUUAAUUUGACUAGUCAGAAUGAUAAUUAGAGAUAUCUGCAGAUAUCUGCAGAUAUUGCACUCGUAAGAAAUUCAAUAUCUCUAAUUCAGAUUCGACUAGUCAAAAUUAUAUUUUAAGAUAUCUGAAUUGUACUGCUCCUAGUUGAAUCUGCUGUUGUGUGAUGUGAGACUGAAUUUACUCAGCUCCUCCCCAACACCAGAGCCCCUCCCCUGCUCUUGUUGAUAAUGGCUGUGUUCGAAAUCGCCCCCUAUACCCUACCUUACUCCACUGAUAUAGUCCACUUGAAGGUGUGAAUGAAAACGAGUGAAUUUGGAAACAGUUUGCGAUAACCCGGGUCGCGUCAAUAGACGAUGAUCAUGUAUCGACGAUAGCCAGAGAUAUUGUCAAAAACAUCAAAUAUUGGUAAUAUUAAGAGGAUUUGGCAUUUCCAAUUAAUGUAGGCCUGUUACAUUCUUCUAGUCUAUUAUUAUCACUAUUAGUUUAUUACUUUUAUUAUUAAAUUAAUAUUAUAAUAAAUUUGCCCCGCAAUAAUUUCAUAGCGCAUCACCGCAUAUAGGCCUAACUGACAUUCUGUGAGGGUAAUAAAAGAUUAGGCUAUUAGCUCAUCUUUGAAAAAGUUUUAAACAUUUUUUUAGGUCUAUUAUACAAUGAAUUAUAGGCCUAUAAUUAAAAUUAUUAACAGUCUAUAAUAUCUCCUAACAUGACAGUCAUCAAUGAAAAUUAAGAGCUAGGCUAAGCACCGACUUAAAAAACAAAAAACAAAAAAACAAGCUGUUUAACACGAAAUACUAUUAUUCUUAUUUGUUUCACUGUAUGUACGGGCCACAAGAGAAAUAAUUGAAUAAAUUAAGAGAGUUAUAUACCGUUAUCAGCAUAUUAUGUUGAAAUUCGUCUCUGAGAGCCCAGGUUAAAAAAAUACUAUAGUAAAUACUAUAGUGUUUUUUAACCAUACUAUAGUAAAUUGUUGUAUACUGUAUAUAUUAAAGUAUUUACAACACUUUGUUAAUGAAUGCUACAGCAUACUGUAGUAUUAACUAUAGUGAACUGAAUAAAUACUGUAGAAGACUUUAGUUUUUACUACAGUAAACUGUAGUGUAGGCUAUAUAGUAGUAUAAUAUAGUUGUAGAAAACAGUACAGUAUUGGGUAAAGAAAUGUGUUUAUAUUACUAUAGUUGUUAUAUUAUCACAGCAAAAGAAUUACCACAACAAAUUAAUUCAAGUAGCCUACUUUACUAUAGUAUGGUUCAAAAACACUAUAGUGUUUACUAUAGUAUUUUUUCACCUGGGAGAAUACGCUCCGUUAAUGCAGCGUUAGGCAGCUCCGUCACUUUUUACUUUCACUUUGAAUAGCCUACUGAUACAGGUUAAGCUUUUACCGGCAUAACUCUUGCGCAAAGUUUGAACGUUGCUUCUUGUGUGAUAUCCAUUGGCUCCCCUUCAUGGUUUAAAACGGAAAGAUUUACAAUAUUGUGACAAUAUUGUGACGUAGGCUAUCCCUUCGGGGGGCCUCGGACUUUCGGCUCGCUGGGGGCCCCCGCGGAUUUGCGCUACGCCACUGCAUGUAGGCCUAUGCAGCGCUGUGAUUUUAAUUGAAUGUUGCAAAACGGACCAACUGGAGUGUAAUGUUCAAUAAACACAGAGAACCACAAA